AAGGAGUAUUAUAUUGUGUCCGAUGUUGACUAUUGAUGAGUUUAUUCAAAUCAACAGCCUCUCACAGUAUCAUUGUCCAACAGUUCUCUUACCUUGCGUUAAGGGCCUAAAAUAUGGAUGAGCCAAGACAGGAUUUAAGUAUGAUUAUAUGUUUUUUUAUUUCAAUCAAAGCGGUGUUGGGGCUAAACCUUUUUCUAUAUGCAUGACUUGCAUUUUGAUGAUGCCCAAUUUAGUCCCCAAAAGUUUCUGAUCUGAUCUGGUAAGUAUCUGUACCAAUUUCCAAUUAAAAAGAAAAUACAUUUCUUACCUGGGGUAGAUGAAGCUGUAAUCCCUC